GACGAACGCUGGCGGCGUGCUUAACACAUGCAAGUCGAACGGAAAGGCCCGCUUUUGUGGGGUGCUCGAUUGGCGACCGGGGGAGUAACACGUCAUUAACCUGCCCUUUACUUUGGGAUAACUUCAGGAAACUGGGGCUAAUACCGGCUAGUAGUUCCUUCUACAUGGUGGGGGAUGGGAAAUUGCGGCUGUUGGGGUUGGACUCGCGUCUUAUCGGCUUGUUGGUGAGGUAGUGGCUUACCAAGGCUUUGACGGGUAGCCGGCCUGAGAGGGUGACCGGCCACAUUGGGACUGAGGUACGGCCCAGACUCCUACGGGAGGCAGCAGUGGGGAAUAUUGCGCAAUGGGCGGAAGCCUGAUGCAGCAACGCCGCGUGCGGGAUGACGGCCUUCGGGUUGUAAACCGCUUUCGCCUGUGACGAAGCGUGAGUGACGGUAAUGGGUAAAGAAGCACCGGCUAACUACGUG
rnacentral:rRNA from 1 species